AGAAAUCCUCCAGCCCUGUUAGAAAUGCCUCAGCCAGGGGGACUCAUCUCCUCAAACCUGGGGGACCGAGACCUAUGAGAGGUCACAGCAUGAGGCAGGACAUCGGAGGUACCCAGACAUUGUUAUGAAACUCCGCAUGUGCCCCUGGUGGACGCUGCUGGACCCAGCAUGCACACUUCUCGGCUAAGAGUCACCCUGGAUGAACCACCAUUGCCAGCGGGGAGCAUGUUGCAGCUUUCCCACGCAGUGGAUGAGAACGAAGGUUACGACCAUUGUGUGGGAGGCGUCUGUGUAGCAAUUGCUGGAAUCACUUGUGGCAUUGUAGAAAGACUGAGCGUGGGAAAGAAGACGCAUUCUGAAGUCACCCCGAUUUAUGUUAAAUUAUCACCUUGACUACUGCUAUAGAACGAAUGUUUAUGUCCCCCACCCAAAUUCGUAUGCUAAGACCUAAUAGCCAAUAAGAUAGUAUUAAUAGAUGGGGCCUUUGGGAGGUGAGUGGCUCAUGAGGGCAGAGUCCUCAAAACCAGAUAAGUGCCCGAAUAAAAGGGGCCCCAGAGAGAUCCCUUGCACCGUCUACCAUGUGAAGUGUAGAACACAGCGAGAAGGCCACCUAUGAGCCAGAACGUGGGCCCUCACCAGAACCCAGUUGUGCUGGCACCCUGAUCCUGGACUUCCAGCCUCCAAAAUGACGACAAAGAAGUUUGUUUUUCCUGAGCCAUCCACUUCAAAGUAUUCUGUCAUAGCUCCCCAAAUAGACUAAGACAUCUACUUAACCUUGGUCAAACGUUUAACCUUGGAGUCCACGCCUCUGAAAUGGUGACAAUAACACUGUGUAUUUCCUACUUUAUGAUCAGGAUUAAUAAAUGUAAUUUAUUAAUCAGAAAUUAGUAAUUUCUGAUUAUUAAUUCUAUGGUGCUUGAUACUUGAUUGAGGCUUAUUUAAUAUUUGGAUCUCUUUUAAUUUUUUUCUUUUUUGCUCUUUCUUUCUGCUUUUCCUCUUCCCCUUUUCCUAUUGAAAUAGAAUGCAGAGGAUAAAGCAAGCAAACAAAAAAACUUCCAGAAGAAUCACAGAGUUUUAGAC
rnacentral:lncRNA from 1 species